UCUUCUUCAUCAUCAUUUUAGUCGGCUUCGAAUGCAAGGGUCUCACUACCGUCUUCUUUCCCUUCGUAGAAUCCACACUUGGAUUCCUAAAAUCCUUUGGUACCUCCAAUAAAGAAUCCACCAAGUCUACAUCCAAUGAAAGUAUCUCGCGAAAAAUAGGAUAGAAUUGGCCUUGAAAACAAAGGGAAGUGAGCUUAGCAAAAUC
rnacentral:misc_RNA from 1 species